rnacentral:lncRNA from 1 species
AGUUUUGAGGUGGUAUGGUACCCAAGCAAUAGGUAACGCAAAUAAAGGGACUGAGGGAUGGUCCGGGAACUUUCACAUCAUACUCAGCCUAAUGACAGGAGAGGGAUCUCACCCAUUCCCCCCAGGACAAUGACUGACUCCUAGGGCCUCACCGACAGUGCCCUAGGAAUACAAGUCAGCCGGUGUUAAUGAAGCUGCAGUCAGGGUUCCCAACUAUCCAGGUCAGCUUUGCUCCACCUAGAAGAAACCCUGUCUCUGUCCACCAACAGAAACCUCAAAAAGCAGCUCUGGCCAUGUUGCAGAAGGAUGAACACUCUCUUGAACAAGCUGAAGGCAGCCAGUCAGUGCAGCCAUCUCCUCAGCUCGUGGACUGCAAUGUGCAAAGGAUGGAAAGGAUGCUGUGGACUCGAACUGCUGAGGAGCCUGCAGGCUCACCGCGAGAAUGGAGGGAAGCCUGGGAACAGUCUGACUGCACUGAAGAGCCCGUGAAAUUUG